AAGAGGAUCUAAAAUUGAUAUCAAUAGAUCAUGAGAAUUGAUCUUGAUCUGCUGAGCGAUUAAAAUGAGCGCAUUGUGAGCGCCUCUUUCCACGUCAUCUCUCCUCUCUCUCCUUUCUUUAUCUAAAAUCAAUUUCACGCGUCUCUUCUUCAAUUCAAGGACGCAGUCAAAUCCGAUAGGAAUGCAGAAAAUUACCGCUCCUACUCUAAAUCUGCAAAUCCUGUCAUCACUUUCCACGUUUUCUUCUUGCCCAAUCCUUAAUUUUAUCACAAUUAAAAGCUACGCCAAAAUCAGAAGAAGAAAUUUGCCACAAUUUUCCGGUCUGCUUCGAUGAAGAGGAUGAUAGGGCAGAGGAUAGUGUCGACGACAAAUGUGCUCAUGAGAUGGAGGUUCCGGUAAUCGACAGAUCCUUUGGCUCUGACUCUGCUGUCGAGGGCGUCCUCAACAAGAUGCUUCUGGUAACAGGCUUCUACUAGGUGUUGGGCCCUGGAUAUCACAAAGGAUCAAGGAUCACAUCUUGAAUUGUCUACAAUAAUGCAUAGCAAAUUGUCUGCAUAAUGAGAAAGAAGAAACAGAUGGAUUAUGGAUGGCUUCUAUUUUUUCCAAGUUGUUUAGGAAAAUGAACUCACUGGAACAUAAUGCAAAUACAGAGGAUAAAUAAAAUCAUUCUUCAGUCUAAAUCGAAUUCUGAUUUGCAAUUCA